rnacentral:rRNA from 1 species
AUUGAACGCUGGCGGCAUGCCUUACACAUGCAAGUCGAACGGUAACGGGCCUUCGGGUGCCGACGAGUGGCGAACGGGUGAGUAAUGCAUCGGAACGUACCUUUCAGUGGGGGAUAACGUAGCGAAAGUUACGCUAAUACCGCAUAUUCUGUGAGCAGGAAAGCAGGGGAUCGCAAGACCUUGCGCUGAUUGAGCGGCCGAUGUCAGAUUAGCUAGUUGGUGAGGUAAAGGCUCACCAAGGCGACGAUCUGUAGCGGGUCUGAGAGGAUGAUCCGCCACACUGGGACUGAGACACGGCCCAGACUCCUACGGGAGGCAGCAGUGGGGAAUUGUGGACAAUGGGGGCAACCCUGAUCCAGCCAUGCCGCGUGAGUGAAGAAGGCCUUCGGGUUGUAAAGCUCUUUCGGCCGGGAAGAAAUCGCACAGGCUAAUACCUUGUGUGGAUGACGGUACCGGAAUAAGAAGCACCGGCUAACUACGUGCCAGCCGCCGCGGUAACAC